rnacentral:rRNA from 1 species
GAUGAACGCUAGCUACAGGCUUAACACAUGCAAGUCGAGGGGAAACGACAUCGAAAGCUUGCUUUUGGUGGGCGUCGACCGGCGCACGGGUGAGUAACGCGUAUCCAACCUGCCCACCACUUGGGGAUAACCUUGCGAAAGUAAGACUAAUACCCAAUGAUAUCCCACGAAGGCAUCGGAAUGGGAUUAAAGAUUUAUCGGUGAUGGAUGGGGAUGCGUCUGAUUAGCUUGUUGGCGGGGUAACGGCCCACCAAGGCAACGAUCAGUAGGGGUUCUGAGAGGAAGGUCCCCCACAUUGGAACUGAGACACGGUCCAAAACUCCUACGGGAGGCAGCAGUGAGGAAUAUUGGUCAAUGGGCGAGAGCCUGAACCAGCCAAGUAGCGUGCAGGAUGACGGCCCUAUGGGUUGUAAAACUGCUUUUAUAAGGGAAUAAAGUGAGUCUCGUGAGGCUUUUUGCAUGUACCUUAUGAAUAAGGACCGGCUAAUUCCGUG